CUUGAACGCUGGCGGCAGGCCUAACACAUGCAAGUCGAACGAGUGGCGGACGGGUGAGUAAUGUCUGGGAAACUGCCUGAUGGAGGGGGAUAACUACUGGAAACGGUAGCUACUACCGCAUACCAUCAGAUGUGCCCAGAUGGGAUUAGCUAGUUGGUGGGGUAAUGGCUCACCAAGGCGACGAUACCUACCUGGUCUGAGAGGAUGACCAGCCAAACUGGAACUGUGACACGGUCCGGACUCCUACGUGAGGAAGAAGUGGGGAAUAUUGCACAAUGGGCGCAAGCCUGAUGCAGCCAGGCCGCGUGUAUGAAGAAGGCCUUCGGGUUGUAAAGUACUUUCAGCGGGGAGGCGUUACCCGCAGAAGAAGCACCGGCUAACUCCGUGCCAGCAGCCGCGGUAAUUC
rnacentral:rRNA from 1 species